rnacentral:rRNA from 1 species
AGAGUUUGAUCCUGGCUCAGGAUGAACGCUAGCUACAGGCUUAACACAUGCAAGUCGAGGGGCAUCAGGAAGAAAGCUUGCUUUCUUUGCUGGCGACCGGCGCACGGGUGAGUAACACGUAUCCAACCUGCCCUUUACUCGGGGAUAGCCUUUCGAAAGAAAGAUUAAUACCCGAUAGUAUAAUGAUUCCGCAUGGUUUGAUUAUUAAAGGAUUCCGGUAAAGGAUGGGGAUGCGUUCCAUUAGGUUGUUGGUGAGGUAACGGCCCACCAAGCCUUCGAUGGAUAGGGGUUCUGAGAGGAAGGUCCCCCACAUUGGAACUGAGACACGGUCCAAACUCCUACGGGAGGCAGCAGUGAGGAAUAUUGGUCAAUGGGCGCUAGCCUGAACCAGCCAAGUAGCGUGAAGGAUGAAGGCUCUAUGGGUCGUAAACUUCUUUUAUAUAAGAAUAAAGUGCAGUAUGUAUACUGUUUUGUAUGUAUUAUAUGAAUAAGGAUCGGCUAACUCCGUGCCAGCAGCCGCGGUAAUACGGAGGAUCCGAGCGUUAUCCGGAUUUAUUGGGUUUAAAGGGAGCGUAGGUGGACUGGUAAGUCAGUUGUGAAAGUUUGCGGCUCAACCGUAAAAUUGCAGUUGAUACUGUCAGUCUUGAGUACAGUAGAGGUGGGCGGAAUUCGUGGUGUAGCGGUGAAAUGCUUAGAUAUCACGAAGAACUCCGAUUGCGAAGGCAGCUCACUGGACUGCAACUGACACUGAUGCUCGAAAGUGUGGGUAUCAAACAGGAUUAGAUACCCUGGUAGUCCACACAGUAAACGAUGAAUACUCGCUGUUUGCGAUAUACAGUAAGCGGCCAAGCGAAAGCAUUAAGUAUUCCACCUGGGGAGUACGCCGGCAACGGUGAAACUCAAAGGAAUUGACGGGGGCCCGCACAAGCGGAGGAACAUGUGGUUUAAUUCGAUGAUACGCGAGGAACCUUACCCGGGCUUAAAUUGCAGAUGAAUUACGGUGAAAGCCGUAAGCCGCAAGGCAUCUGUGAAGGUGCUGCAUGGUUGUCGUCAGCUCGUGCCGUGAGGUGUCGGCUUAAGUGCCAUAACGAGCGCAACCCUUAUCUUUAGUUACUAACAGGUCAUGCUGAGGACUCUAGAGAGACUGCCGUCGUAAGAUGUGAGGAAGGUGGGGAUGACGUCAAAUCAGCACGGCCCUUACGUCCGGGGCUACACA